UAUGCAGAGAAGGCUUUCUUU
rnacentral:piRNA from 1 species